UACGUAGGGUGCAAGCGUUAAUCGGAAUUACUGGGCGUAAAGCGUGCGCAGGCGGUUUUGUAAGACAGAUGUGAAAUCCCCGGGCUCAACCUGGGAACUGCGUUUGUGACUGCAAGGCUUGAGUGCGGCAGAGGAGACUGGAAUUCCUGGUGUAGCAGUGAAAUGCGUAGAUAUCAGGAGGAAUACCGAUGGCGAAGGCAGGUCUCUGGGCUGACACUGACGCUCAUGCACGAAAGCGUGGGGAGCAAACAGG
rnacentral:rRNA from 1 species